GCAUAUCCCUCUGCUCUUGUUUCCAUGCAGCCCAUGCCGGCGCAUCGGCGGCCAAACCUCUCCGACGCCGCCGGUGUCUCCGCUGGAGGUGGCGACGACCGGCUCAGCGCGCUGCCGGACGACCUCCUCAUCCACAUCCUCCUCAAGCUCCAGGACGCCCCCGUCGCCGCUCGGACCAGCGUCCUUGCCCGCCGCUGGCGCCGCGUCUGGGCUCUCCUGCCGGAGCUCCAUUUCCCCGAUGGCACUGACUCUGACGGCAUACGCGCCGCCCUCGCCGCCCAUGAUGCGCCGGCCAUCAGCCUUCUCUCCGUUGCCGCCAUCAAGGCCACCCCCGAAUCCGUCGCGGCAUGGCUCCCCAUCGACGCCUGUCGCCUCUCCGGUGUCCUAGAUUUCAGGAACAGGGGGACCAUGGACGAGACCUCGGCCGCCUCUCCUUUGAAGCUGCCUUGCUUUCAGAACGCAACCAAGGUCGUGCUUGAUCUAGAUUCUAUCGGCCUCACCCUGCCGCCUUCCGGCAUAUUUACCCGGCUCGCCGAGCUGGUGCUGAUUAGCAUCCAUCUGCACGGUCCGUGUAGCAUCAGUGAUGUCGUCUCCUCAUCACGGUGUCCAUCUUUGCAGCGGCUUGUCGUCAGCAGUGUCAAGGGUCUGGACAAGUUCACAAUCCACUCAGAGUCUCUCCUAGAAUUGGUGCUGAGUGGUCUCCCUGGCUUGCACCAGCUCAAUGUCGUUGCACUGGCUCUGAAGGACUUAGCAGUACGGGGUUGCUUCACUGAUGCUCUCAAUCGGAGUCAACACAUUGCAAACAUCUCAGCCCCUCAGCUGGUGACACUUGAUUGGAAGAGUUCUUAUGAUCCUAGCUCUGUCCAGCUUGGCGAGAUGGCACAUCUCCAACAGCUGACAACGCAAUAUUUAAUUGUAUAUGGACAAUAUGUAUUUUCUGCACAUAAUCGUCAUUGCUUGAUGCUUCUGCAGCGCUUUGACCACAUCAGGAGACUUGUUCUCUACCUUGUCUAUGCACCGCUUCAAGUCAACGGCCGAUUCUUGAUGGAGGAGAUGACAAACUUUCCUAACAUUACCAGCUUGACACUAAAUGUAGUGGCAUGUAGUCAUUCCUUUGGAGCCAGCUCAUUCCAUGUUCUCAGUAUGUCUAGUGGCGUAAGAGAGCUCGAGAUUAGACUUGUCGACCUGCCGAGCGAACACGAGGCACUCGCUUCUGCAUGCCAAUCAGGUUGCAUUUGUGCCGAGCCAUCAAACUGGGAAACAGAGGAACUCGUCCUCCAUUGCCUCGAAGAAGUAGUAAUCAGUGGCCUGAGAGGAACUGAACAUGAACUCGCUUUUGUGAAAAGGUUAUUCAACUGGACAACAGUGCUAAAGAGGAUGACAGUAAAUUUUCGUGUUUCAAUGACUGAAAGCAACGCCAAAGAGCUUCGCCAGCAGCUAUUAAGCUUCUCUAGGCCAGGAAUAUGUAUGAAAUUC
rnacentral:rRNA from 1 species